rnacentral:rRNA from 1 species
CUGGCUCAGGAUGAACGCUAGCGGCAGGCUUAACACAUGCAAGUCGAGGGGCAGCGCGAGUAGCAAUACUUGGCGGCGACCGGCGCAAGGGUGCGUAACGCGUGAGCAACAUGCCCGUAUCAGGGGGAUAAUCCAGGGAAACUUGGUCUAAUACCCCAUAGUAAUUUUGUAAGGCAUCUUAUAAGAUUUAAAGCUUUGGUGGAUACGGAUUGGCUCGCGUGACAUUAGCUGGAUGGUAAGGUAACGGCUUACCAUGGCUAUGAUGUCUAGGGGUUCUGAGAGGAAGGUCCCCCACACUGGAACUGAGACACGGUCCAGACUCCUACGGGAGGCAGCAGUGAGGAAUAUUGGACAAUGGAUGGAAAUCUGAUCCAGCCAUGCCGCGUGAAAAGGAAGAAGGUCCUAUGGAUUGUAAACUUCUUUUGUAUGGGAGCAAUAAGGCCUACGAGUAGGUUGAUGAGAGUACCAUACGAAUAAGCACCGGCUAACUCCGUGCCAGCCGCAGC